UAGCCUUUCGAAAGAAAGAUUAAUACCCGAUGGCAUAAUAGAACCGCAUGGUUUGAUUAUUAAAGAAUUUCGGUUAUCGAUGGGGAUGCGUUCCAUUAGGCAGUUGGUGGGGUAAUGGCCCACCAAACCUUCGAUGGAUAGGGGUUCUGAGAGGAAGGUCCCCCACAUUGGAACUGAGACACGGUCCAAACUCCUACGGGAGGCAGCAUG
rnacentral:rRNA from 1 species